rnacentral:tRNA from 1 species
UGCGGGGUCGUCUAAUGGCAAGACGCGGGCCUCUGGAGCCCGUUAUCAAGGUUCGAGUCCUUGCCCCGCAG